GACGAACGCUAGCUACAGGCUUAACACAUGCAAGUCGAGGGACCGGCGCACGGUUGAUUAACACGUACCCAACCUGCCCUUUACUCGGGGAUAGCCUUUCGAAAGAAAGAUUAAUACCCGAUGUAAAGGAUGGGGAUGGGUUCCAUUAGGUUGUUGGUGAGGUAACGGCCCACCAAGCCGUCGAUGGAUAGGGGUUGUGAGAGGAAGGUCCCCCACAUUGGGACUGAGACACGGUCCAAACGCCUACGGGAGGCAGCAGUGAGGAAGAAUGGUCAAUGGGCGUUAGCCUGAACCAGCCAAGUAGCGUGGAGGAUGAAGGGUUAUGGGUCGUAAACUUCUUUGAUAUAAGAAUAUGAAUUAUAUGAAUAAGGAUCGGCUAACUCGGUGCCAGCAGCGGCGGUAAUC
rnacentral:rRNA from 1 species